GUUCUUUCUUUGAGAGUACGUAUACUAACAUCAAAAUGAUACAGAGAAUAUUAGCAUGGCCCCCAUACAAAGGUAACAUGCAAAUUCAUGAAGCAUUCCAUAUGUUU